GGUUUUGGGGAAUUUUUGGGGAUUUUUUUGGGAUUUUUGGGAUUUUUUGGGGGAUUUUUUGGGGGAUUUUUUGAUUUUUUCGGGGAAUUUUUUUUGGAUUUUUGGGGGAUUUUUGGGAUUUUUUGGGGGAUUUUUUGGGGAUUUUUUGGGGGAUUUUUGGAUUUUUUGGGGGAUUUUUUUUUUGAUUUUUGGGGGAUCUUUGGGAUUUUUUUUGGGUUUUUGGGGGAUUUUUGGGAUUUUUUGGGGGAUUUUUAUGGGAUUUUUGAGGGAAUUUUUUUGGAUUUUUGGGGAAUUUUUGGGGGAUUUUUGGGGAUUUUUUUUGGGAAUUUUCUGUGAAUUCUUGGAAUUUUUGGGGGAUUUUUUUGGGAUUUUUUUGGGACUUUUUGGGGAUUUUUGGGGGAAUUUUAGGGAUUUCUUUUGGGAAUUUUUAGGGAAAUUUUUUGGGAAUUUUUGGGAAUUUUUUGGGGGGAAUUUUGGGAGGAUUUUGGGGAUUUUUGGGAAUUUUUUGGGGGGAAUUUUGGGAAUUUUUGUGAAUUUUUUGGGGGGAAUUUUGGCCGUUUUUGGGGUGAUUUUGUGGGGAUUUUUGGCCAUCCCAGAAUUUAAAUGAAUUUUAACCCUUCCGUGGCCGGGAAUCCCGGGGGAAUCCCUGGAAUUCCGGGAAUUCCGAGCCAUUCCCAAAGCUUUUCCCGGUUUUUCCCCCCAGGUCUCGGCCCGGGAGCGCCGGGAGCGGCUCCAGGAGAAAUCGCGGCUGAGCCGGAGCCUCCUCCCGCUGCUGCCCCAGCUCCUGGAAAAGUUCUCGGCCGAGCCCGAGGCGGUGGCGGCGCUGCUGGAGCUGCUCCCGCACCUGGAGCUCGGAAUGUUCCGGACGGCGCGGCUCGACAAGGUGGGCACGGGACGGACCAGUAUAAACCAGUACAAACCAGUACAGACCGGUUCAGACCAGUACGGACCAGUAUAGACCAGUACAGACCGGUUCAAACCAGUACAGACCAGUAUAAACCAGUUCAGACCAGUCCAUCCCAGUCCAUCCCAGUCCAUCCCAGUCCAUCCCAGUUUCCAUUCCCAGGUUUUGGAUCGGGUUCUGGAGCGGAUCCUGGAGCUGUUCCGCUGCCACUCGGAGCCGGUUCCGGUUCCCCUGAUCCCAUCCCAGUCCAUCCCAGUCUAUCCCAGUCCAUCCCAGUUUAUCCCAGUCCAUCC
rnacentral:lncRNA from 1 species